AUUGAACGCUGGCGGCAUGCCUUACACAUGCAAGUCGAACGGUAACAGGUCUUCGGAUGCUGACGAGUGGCGAACGGGUGAGUAGUACAUCGGAACGUGCCUAGUAGUGGGGGAUAACUACUCGAAAGAGUGGCUAAUACCGCAUGAGAUCUACGGAUGAAAGCAGGGGAUCGCAAGACCUUGUGCUACUAGAGCGGCCGAUGGCAGAUUAGGUAGUUGGUGGGAUAAAAGCUUACCAAGCCGACGAUCUGUAGCUGGCCUGAGAGGACGAUCAGCCACACUGGGACGGAGACACGGCCCAGACUCCUACGGGAGGCAGCAGUGGGGAAUUUUGGACAAUGGGCGCAAGCCUGAUCCAGCAAUGCCGCGUGCAGGAUGAAGGCCUUCGGGUUGUAAACUGCUUUUGUACGGAACGAAAAGCUCCGGGUUAAUACCCUGGGGUCAUGACGGUACCGUAAGAAUAAGCACCGGCUAACUACGUGCCAGCCGCCGCCGUAA
rnacentral:rRNA from 1 species